rnacentral:rRNA from 1 species
CCUACGGGGGGCUGCAGUCGAGAAUUUUUCACAAUGGGGGAAACCCUGAUGGAGCGACGCCGCGUGGGGGAUGAAGGGCUUCGGCUCGUAAACCCCUGUCAUUCGCGAAUAAUUGUUACAGUUGAACAGGCUGUGACUUGAUAGUAGCGGAAGAGGAAGGGACGGCUAACUCUGUGCCAGCAGCCGCGGUAAUACAGAGGUCCCAAGCGUUGUUCGGAUUUACUGGGCGUAAAGGGUGCGUAGGCGGUGAGGAAAGUUCGGGGUGAAAUCUCCAGGCUCAACUUGGAAACUGCCCUGAAUACUUCCUCGCUAGAGGGUCGCAGAGGAGAUUGGAAUUCUCGGUGUAGCAGUGAAAUGCGUAGAUAUCGAGAGGAACAUCAGUGGCGAAAGCGAAUCUCUGGGCGACAUCUGACGCUGAGGCACGAAAGCCAGGGGAGCAAACGGGCUUAGAUACCCGAGUAGUC